GGAGGAAGGUGGGGAUGACGUCAAGUCCUCAUGGCCUUUAUGACCAGGGCUACACACGUACUACAAUGGCCGGUACAAAGGGCAGCGACACAGCGAUGUGAAGCCAAAUCCCGAAAAGCCGGUCUCAGUCCGGAUUGGAGUCUGCCAACUCGACUCCAUGAAGUUGGAAUCGCUAGUAAUCGCGGAUCAGCACGCCGCGGUGAAUACGGUUCCCGGGCCUU
rnacentral:rRNA from 1 species